CCUACGGGUGGCAGCAGUGAGGAAUAUUGGUCAAUGGCCGGAAGGCUGAACCAGCCAAGCCGCGUGAAGGACGAAGGUGCCAAGCAUUGUAAACUUCUUUUGUCAAGGGACAAAAUCAGGCUCGAGAGCCUGACCGAGGGUACUUGAAGAAAAAGCAUCGGCUAACUCCGUGCCAGCAGCCGCGGUAAUACGGGGGAUGCGAGGGUUAUCCGGAUUUAUUGGGGUUAAGGGGUGCGUAGGUGGACUGUUAAGUCAGCGGUAAAAGCCCGGGGCUCAACCCCGGCGAGCCGUUGAAACUGGCGGUCUUGAGAUGUCGAGAGGUAUGCGGAAUGCGCAGUGUAGCGGUGAAAUGCGUAGAUAUCACGAAGAACUCCGAUUGCGAAGGCAGCAUACCGGCGCCCAACUGACGCUGAGGCACGAAAGCGUGGGUAUCAAACAGGAUUAGAUACCCGUGUAGUC
rnacentral:rRNA from 1 species